ACUAAUCAAGUUGUUAAGUAUAGAAUGGUAGUUGGGAUAGAAAAACACAACAGGACAGAUAAACAGACAGACCGACAGAUAUCAUUCAAAUCUCGAGUGGUAUCGACACAUCUCUAUGAAACACAUGGACACACCCAACGAUUCUUUUUUAAACUAUCGAUCUUUCUCGAACUAAAUCCCAAGAAAACCGUGCAUUAUUAUGGACCCCAGAGAUCUAAUUGAGAUUGCAACUCCAGACUCCGGCCAUUAUUGCCGGUGGUGGCAUGCAUUGCCGAGCCAUUAUUGCUCCGUCCAUCUUUUUUUCUUAUUAUUCUUCUUCUUUCUCCUCCUCUCUACCUGCCGGUGUUUGAUUUAUUAUAUCAAUUUCACUCUGGUUUGAAAGUGCAUAUAUUCCCAACUACUGUCAUACUUACAUACCAUUUGCAUAUUGGACCAGUCAGUCUUCUUUAUGUCGUAUUUAAUAAAAAGAGCCGUCAGCCGUGCGCCGACUACCGACUACCGACCGCGCGCCCAUAGAAUCUUGCCCGGAGAAUGGUAUAUUAAUAUACAAAUCAAUAUAAUAAUAAGAAUAAGAUGUGCAUGCAUGGAUUUAAUUUAUUUACCAGCCGAUGGUAUUUACAAAAGAAACUGUUUAUUGAAAUAGUGUUUCAGACGGUGCCAAUGAAUGGCAGCGGCAGGUGGACCGGACGGUGGAUUUCUUUGGCAUCACACAUGGUCCGGUCAUG
rnacentral:lncRNA from 1 species